UACGUAGGGUGCGAGCGUUAAUCGGAAUUACUGGGCGUAAGCGUGACGCAGGUGGUCAUGCAAGACAGAUGUGAAAUCCCCGGGCUUAACCUGGGAACUGCAUUUGUGACUGCACGGCUAGAGUGCGGCAGAGGGGGAUGGAAUUCCGCGUGUAGCAGUGAAAUGCGUAGAUAUGCGGAGGAACACCGAUGGCGAAGGCAAUCCCCUGGGCCUGCACUGACGCUCAUGCACGAAAGCGUGGGGAGCAAACAGG
rnacentral:rRNA from 1 species